rnacentral:tRNA from 1 species
GGUUUCGUGGUGUAGUUGGUUUUCACACCAGUCUAACAUGCUGGGGGUCCCCGGUUCAAGCCCGGGUGAAAUCA